GACGAACGCUGGCGGCGUGCUUAACACAUGCAAGUCGAACGAUGAAGGAGAGCUUGCUCUCCGGAUUAGUGGCGAACGGGUGAGUAACACGUGACUAACCUGCCCCUUUCUCUGGGAUAACGCUCCGAAAGGAGUGCUAAUACCGGAUACGAACUCUGAACACAUGUUCGGAGUUGGAAAGUUUUUCGGAAAGGGAUGGAGUCGCGGCCUAUCAGCUUGUUGGUGAGGUAACGGCUCACCAAGGCGACGACGGGUAGCCGGCCUGAGAGGGCGACCGGCCACACGGGGACGGAGACACGGCCCAGACUCCGACGGGAGGCAGCAGUGGGGAAUAUUGCACAAUGGGCGAAAGCCUGAUGCAGCGACGCCGCGUGAGGGAUGAAGGUCUUCGGAUUGUAAACCUCUUUCAGUAGGGACGAAGCGAAAGUGACGGUACCUAAAGAAGAAGCACCGGCUAACUACGUGCCAGCCGCCGCCGUAA
rnacentral:rRNA from 1 species